AUUGAACGCUGGCGGCAGGCCUAACACAUGCAAGUCGAACGCGUGGCGCACGGGUGCGUAAUGUCUGGGACACUGCCCGAUGGAGGGGGAUAACUACUGGAAACGGUCGCUAAUCCCGCCUACCAUCGGCUGUUCCCAGCUGGGAUUAGCUAGUAGGUGGGGUAAUGGCUCACCUAGGCGACGAUCCCUAGCUGGUCUGAGAGGAUGACCAGCCACACUGGAACUGAGACACGGUCCAGACUCCUACGGGAGGCAGCAGUGGGGAAUAUUGCACAAUGGGCGCAAGCCUGAUGCAGCCAUGCCGCGUGUAUGAAGAAGGCCUUCGGGUUGUAAAGUACUUUCAGCGGGGAGGCGUUACCCGCAGAAGAAGCACCGGCUAACUCCGUGCCAGCCGCCGCGGUAAUAC
rnacentral:rRNA from 1 species